rnacentral:sRNA from 1 species
UUACUGUGACAAUGUUAUGACGUGUGGCA